rnacentral:rRNA from 1 species
AGUGAACGCUGGCGGUAGGCCUAACACAUGCAAGUCGAACGAGUGGCGGACGGGUGAGGAAUCUAUGGGAAACUGCUCUGUCGAGGGGGAUAACUAAGGGAAACUUAAGCUAAUACCGCAUACGAUUGAAUGUGCCGAUGUCGGAUUAGCUAGUGGGUGGGGUAACGGCCAACCAAGGCGACGAUCCGUAGCUGGUCUGAGAGGAUGAUCAGCCACACUGGAACUGAGACACGGUCCAGACUCCUAUGGGAGGCAGCAGUGGGGAAUAUUGGACAAUGGGCGCAAGCCUGAUACAGCCAUACCGCGUGUGUGAAGAAGGCCUUCGGGUUGUAAAGCACUUUUGUUGGGAAAGCGGUACCCAAAGAAUAAGCACCGGCUAACUCCGUGCCAGCAGCCGCGGUAAUAC